UCCAUGGCCUCUCCCAGAACCUAUAAAUGGUGUCUGGACCCCCGGGGAUGCAUUUGUCCAAACACCCUGGAGAGGACACAGAAAAGACAGACAACCACCCCAAUUGCUAAUGGAGAGCAGCUGUGGAGAGCCUUGAACAAAAGGCUACAUGCUAACUAUUAAAAUACCCAAUAAAUAUUCAAUAAAUAUUUUAAAAACCUUG